GUGGCCACAGCAGCGAGUGACAGCCAGCCUGGAUGGCCGGGGACACGGGGAUGGCCGGGAAGGUGGCACUGCUCCUGUGGGCCCAGACCCUCGGCCUCGCCGGUGCCCAGACCACCCAGCUCCUGGUGGAGCCCCCCUGGACACCAGCAGUGCAGUGGGACACGGUGACACUGACCUGCCAGGGCUCGGGGACCGCCGGUGCCACAGCCUGGUACAGGAACGGGCGGCAAUUGUGGCAGGAGGAUUCCGACCAACUCACUGUCACCGAGAGUGGCACCUACACGUGUGACAGAGCCGGCAGUGGGCUCAGCCCCUCCGUGAGAGUCUUAAAUGACUGGCUGGUGCUGCAGGUGCCGGCGUGGCCACUGCUGGAGGGGGACACGGUGACACUGCGCUGCCGGGGCUCGGAGGACGAGUCUGUCACCUCGGUGUCAUUCUACCGCGAGAAGAAGAAACUGUGGGGGCUCCGCGAUGUCCCCGAGCUGUCCCUGUCCCCUCUAGAGCUGCACCACAGGGGCCGCUACCACUGCAGGGGCAAGGUGGACUACUGGGGGUGGAAGUGGCGGGAGUCGGCACCGGUGACAGUGACAGUGCACGAGCUCUUCUCGGUGCCGGUGCUGGAGGGUCCCCCUGAAGUCACCGAGGGGUCCCCCCUGACUCUCAGCUGCCUCAGCACCCCCAGCCCCCUGCGGCCCCGAGCCCCCCUCCUGCACCUCUUCUACCGGGACGGGCAGUUGGUGGGGGGCCCGCAGGGGUCCCCGCAGCUCCUGGUGCCCGCCGUGGGGGUCUCCCACUCGGGGAAUUACAGCUGCCAGGUGUGGUCUGAGGGGGGGACCGUGCAGAAGAGCAGCGCCCGGCUCGGCGUCACGGUGCGCAGGGUCCCGCCCUCGGGGGUGUCCCUGUCAGCACAGCCCCCCGGGGGACAGGUGGCACUGGGGGACAGCCUGGUGCUGAGCUGCGCGGUGGCCGCAGGGACAGGUCCCCUGUCCUUCACCUGGCACCGGGGGGGGCUCGGGGGCACCGCUGGGCACCGGCCCCCGCCUGGAGCUGUGGGACAUUGGGGACAGUGACAGCGGCCACUAUCACUGCCGGGUCAGCGACGGGGACAGCGUGGCCGAGAGUGUCCCCCUGAAUGUCACCGUCCUGGCGCCCGUGGCCAAUGCCACCAUCACCCCCGGUCCCCUGUCACACCAGGUGCACUCAGGUGACCCCGUGACCCUGCGCUGCUCGGUGCAGGUGGGCUCAGCCCCUGUCACCUUCACCUGGCUGCACAACGGG